GAUUUUUGCAACCAAAAUUCUAUGUCCAGAAAGACCGACAGUUACUGAGAUGUUUGGGGGAAGGAUAUACCAGCUGCCAGUGAGACAGCCAUUAAUCAGCACAGCUGAAAUUUUUGGACACGAUCAUGCCUAAAGCAACAGGAAAGCAUACGUGAGAAUGGGUACAGGAAGUGUGAAAAACGGCACACGCGUCCUACUGCAGGUAAGAAACAGAAAUUACUGCUUAGUGUCCGCAUGUGGAGACGCACACAACACCAGGUGGCGUUUUUUCAAUUGAUGCAACUCAGUAAUUUUUAUUGCAACUGGAAGACAAUACAUCACAGAAACUUUAUGGUAGGUCUGGGGAAAAGUGUUAUUUACAAUAAAUGAUGAAAUAGUUUGUCUUUGGCAAUAUGAUUACAUACGAAGAAUGCAAAAUGCAAUUAGGGGUGCUUCCAAAGCAACACCAUCAGGUUCGGCUGACUGCGCCCGCCUCCAUGUCGUUUUUUUAGGUUAACACAAACGUAACUGAACAUCACUUUCUUCCUCCUUUAUGGUUUCUCCCUUUCUAUUCAUGAUAUUGGCAGUUUCGUACAGAAAA